UGAAAUUAUUAUCUAAUAAAAAAAAAAACAUAUUACUCGCUAAACUUGUGAAUACUCAAUUACUUCUGAUUCAUAAUCUAAUUUUAUGAUUUGUAUGUUAAAUUAAGACGAUGUCUCCGGCACUGAAUGUGGCAUCCGUCAUCGGGUCUCAUGGGACUGGGCGAAGGGUGUUACAGCUUUUAUCUCUUAUGUCGCAUGGAGUGUGUGGGAUGCUAGGAACAAAUUUCUUUGGUAACAAAUAGAUUGGACUCCUUUGAAUGUUAGUGCUACAGCUUCUAUUCUUUUUCAAGACUUCAAGAAUGCCUUGGUGAUAGCAUACUCAUUCUUGAUAAGUUAUGAUGAUGUCUAAACUAUGAAUGAGUAUGCUAUCAAUGAGUGAGAAUUUUUUAUUUGUUUAUGGAGUGUGCUUGUAAUCUGGAAUUUCAAAAUGUGUGCUUUUGGAUGAUAACAAAUAUUAGUACCGAACAUUCAAAGGUUGUGAUUAUCUCGGCUAACGGAAUGGAUUAUCAUCCUUAACGAAGGGCUUGUUUGUUCUGAUGGAUUUAUCUGAGCUUUGGGCCCAUAGAAGGAAAAUUAUGAUUACGUCUCUUUUAUGUAUACCAUUUAUGUGUUGAAAUGCUACUGCUCUAUCCCAUUUAUGUGUUGAAAUACAACUAUUCUCCCAUAUUUUCAUUU